AUACGUAGGGGGCGAGCGUUGUCCGGAAUGAUUGGGCGUAAAGGGCGCGUAGGCGGCCGCUUAAGUCUGGAGUGAAAGUCCUGUUUUCAAGAUGGGAAUUGCUUUGGAUACUGGGGGGCUUGAGUGCAGGAGAGGUUAUCGGAAUUCCCGGUGUAGCGGUGAAAUGCGUAGAGAUCGGGAGGAACACCAGUGGCGAAGGCGGGUAACUGGACUGCAACUGACGCUGAGGCGCGAAAGUGUGGGGAGCAGACAGGAUUAGAUACCCUGGUAGUCCGCACAGUAAACUAUGGAUACUCUCUGCCGGCGAUAUAUUGUCGGUGGCCAAGCGAAAGCGUUAAGUAUCCCACCUGGGGAGUACGUUCGCAAGAAUGAAACUCAAAUGAAUUGGCGGGG
rnacentral:rRNA from 1 species